rnacentral:rRNA from 1 species
CCCAGACUCCUACGGGAGGCAGCAGUGGGGGAUAUUGCACAAUGGGGGGAACCCUGAUGCAGCGACGCCGCGUGGGUGAAGGAGCGUUUCGGCGCGUAAAGCCCUAUCGGUAGGGAAGAAGGAGGACGGUACCUGACUAAGAAGCCCCGGCUAACUACGUGCCAGCAGCCGCGGUAAUACGUAGGGGGCAAGCGUUAUCCGGAUUUACUGGGUGUAAAGGGGGCGCAGACGGCAGCGCAAGCCAGGAGUGAAAGCCCGGGGCCCAACCCCGGGACUGCUCUUGGAACUGCGCGGCUGGAGUGCAGGAGGGGCAGGCGGAAUUCCUGGUGUAGCGGUGAAAUGCGUAGAUAUCAGGAGGAACACCGGUGGCGAAGGCGGCCUGCUGGACUGCGACUGACGUUGAGGCCCGAAAGCGUGGGGAGCAAACAGGAUUAGAUACCCCAGUAC